rnacentral:rRNA from 1 species
UACGGGGAGGGCAAGCGUUGUUCGGAAUUACUGGGCGUAAAGGGCUUGUAGGCGGCCAACUAAGUCCGACGUGAAAUCCCUCGGCUUAACCGGGGAACUGCGUCUGAUACUGGAUGGCUAGAGAUUGGGAGAGGGAUGCGGAAUUCCAGGUGUAGCGGUGAAAUGCGUAGAUAUCUGGAGGAACACCGGUGGCGAAGGCGGCAUCCUGGACCAACACUGACACUGAAAAGCGAAAGCCAGGGGAGCAAACGGG